UUCCAGAUGUAGAUGUAGAAUGCAUUGGGUGUAUUCAGGAUUUCAUGAAGAGGGGUAUGGGAACAGCAACCGGUGUUGCAGGAACACCUGCACCUCACUCCCAGCUUCCUACCCACAACAGGAUGAGCAGACUAUGCCAUGGGAGCAGCAGCCAGAGCCUUUUUAAAGUCCUUGAAUCAGAUAAGAAAGCAUGUGCCUGGGCUAAAGAAAAUUUGGAACAUCCAGAGGAUUUGGAAGAUUAGUGACUUAGUGUACUGACAUAUUUUCAACUUCUGACUGAACACGCUAUCAGUUGUAUCUGCAGACUUCAAUCGGUGUUAAGGUUCUACUGCAUUUUAUUCCUAUCAAACCUCCGAAAUUAGUUAGCUGAUGUCCAUUCCUGAUGUCACAUCUCAAUAGUAUCAGCCCUGUAACUGGAACUAUGCAGCUCACUGGAGUCAAGGAAGUUACUGC